rnacentral:rRNA from 1 species
GGUUAAGCGAAUAAGCGUACACGGUGGAUGCCUAGGCAAUCAGAGGCGAUGAAGGACGUGCUAAUCUGCGAAAAGCGUCGGUAAGGUGAUAUGAACCGUUAUACCCGACGAUAUCCGAAUGGGGAAACCCAGUAUCCAAUGGAUACUAUCAUUAACUGAAUCCAUAGGUUAAUGAGGCGAACCGGGAGAACUGAAACAUCUCAGUACCCCGAGGAAAAGAAAUCAACCGAGAUUCCCCUAGUAGCGGCGAGCGAACGGGGAGCAGCCCAGAGUCUUAAUCAAUAGCAGUGUCAGGAGAACGGUCUGGAAAGUCCGGCAGUAAAGGGUGAUAGCCCCGUAUCUGAAGAUGCUGUUAUUGUGAACUCGAUGAGUAGGGCGGGACACGUGUUAUCCUGUCUGAAUAUGGGGGGACCAUCCUCCAAGGCUAAAUACUCCUGAUUGACCGAUAGUGAACCAGUACCGUGAGGGAAAGGCGAAAAGAACCCCGGCGAGGGGAGUGAAAAAGAACCUGAAACCGUGUACGUACAAGCAGUAGGAGCCUCUUUAUGGGGUGACUGCGUACCUUUUGUAUAAUGGGUCAGCGACUUAUAUUCUGUAGCAAGGUUAACCGUAUAGGGGAGCCGUAGGGAAACCGAGUCUUAACUGGGCGAAUGAGUUGCAGGGUAUAGACCCGAAACCCGGUGAUCUAUCCAUGGGCAGGUUGAAGGUUGGGUAACACUAACUGGAGGACCGAACCGACUAAUGUUGAAAAAUUAGCGGAUGACUUGUGGAUGGGGGUGAAAGGCCAAUCAAACCGGGAGAUAGCUGGUUCUCCCCGAAAGCUAUUUAGGUAGCGCCUCGUGAA